GGGGAUGUAGUUCAGUGGUAGAGCACUUGCCUAGCACUGGCAAGGGCCUGAUUCAUCCCCA
rnacentral:tRNA from 1 species